CAAGUGGUCGACUGUAUACGAAAAAAAAACAAAACUUUACAACAUCGCACACAACUUCCACGUUCAACGCGGCGUCACAGUGUGAGUGAAUGGAGAUACAAACAAUAUGCGACGCACGCGUGCGCGCGCUCUGUCUCAGUGAAGGAGACGUGUAAUUUCUGGCAACACUAACGCGGCGUACGAAGCAGCACUCACACAACCAACGGCGCCUUCUGAUUGGAGAAGAAGUUGUCGAGCGCUUGCCUCCGCCCGCGCACCAACGUCCUUGCAGGCACGGGCCACCGACCGCAACUGCCUGCUCUAAACUAUACUUACUUGAAACUUAACAGAGCACGCCACCGGAAAGCAUCAUGGUGUCGAAAUUCCUAAGUGACAGUAAGAAGUGUAACGGAAUUCGAUGCGCGUGGGCAGCCUGCGCGGACGCCGACUGUCGCGACAAUAUGCACUUGAGAAUUGUGCGUACGAGUUCAUCUUGCCUUAUUUCGGAUUGAAAAUAGAGAUCAGAUAUAGCCUUUAGCGUAUUUUUGAGACAAUUUUAUUUAGAUCUGAUUUUUAAAGAUGAGGUUUGUGCUUAUCCUGUGGAAAAAGAUGUGGGUUUAAUGUAUUUUAAUGA